rnacentral:rRNA from 1 species
GUCCACGCCGUAAACGAUGGAUACUAGCUGUUGGGCGCAAGUUCAGUGGCUAAGCGAAAGUGAUAAGUAUCACACCUGGGAGUACGUUCGCAAGAAUGAAACUCAAAGGAAUUGACGGGGCCCGCACAAGCGGUGGAGCAUGUGGUUUAAUUCGAUGAUACGCGAGGAACCUUACCAAGGCUUAAAUGUAGAUUGACCGAUUUGGAAACAGAUCUUUCGCAAGACAAUUUACAAGGUGCUGCAUGGUUGUCGU